CCCAGACUCCUACGGGAGGCAGCAGUGGGGAAUAUUGCACAAUGGGGGGAACCCUGAUGCAGCGACGCCGCGUGGGUGAAGGAGCACCUCGGUGCGUAAAGCCCUAUCGGCAGGGAAGAAACAGACGGUACCUGACUAAGAAGCCCCGGCUAACUACGUGCCAGCAGCCGCGGUAAUACGUAGGGGGCAAGCGUUAUCCGGAUUCACUGGGUGUAAAGGGAGCGUAGACGGCGACGCAAGUCUGGAGUGAAAGCCCGGGGCCCAACCCCGGGACUGCUCUGGAAACUGCGGCGCUGGAGUGCGGGAGGGGCAGGCGGAAUUCCUGGUGUAGCGGUGAAAUGCGUAGAUAUCAGGAGGAACACCGGCGGCGAAGGCGGCCUGCUGGACCGUGACUGACGUUGAGGCUCGAGAGCGUGGGGAGCAAACAGGAUUAGAUACCCGGGUAC
rnacentral:rRNA from 1 species